GCUGAAGAAAUUGGGAACUGGAAGUUUGUCUUUAAUAUAUAAAAUCAAGUAAUAGCUCAUGCUUUAUGUUAAACUUACCAUGAUUGCAUACAUGUAUUAUUGACCAACAACAUCCUAAUUGGGAACUGGAAGUCUGUUUUUAAUAUAUAAAUCUCUUGAAAAAUCUUAUUAUAUCUUGAUUAUUGUUCAAGGAUUAGCCUUCAGAACGUUGGCAAGAUGCUAAGGGAGCUUCAGAGUUUCAAGGAAGAGUGUAUCAGGUGUAUAUAGAAUUUCUGGGGUUUUGCUCUUAUGCUUUGUAUUUUUUUAAUUUUUACUAAUGGUAUUUCUUGCUAAGAGGAAAAGUUGUCUAGGGAUUUUGGACUGUCUCUCUCACCAUCUGAAGGUACUGAAGACAAAAGUCUAGAGGCAGCUCCUACUGCGUUGUGGAAAAUAUAUCUGCCAUAAAAGUCAAAAUAAAGACUUCAAAGAAGGCAUCCAAAGACUGGGUUGACUUUCAGUGCCUGUAUCAGCAGUUCAAAUAACCAAUAUUUCA
rnacentral:lncRNA from 1 species